GUGCGAGCGUUGUCCGGAAUUACUGGGCGUAAAGAGCUCGUAGGUGGUUUGUCGCGUUGUUCGUGAAAACUCACAGCUCAACUGUGGGCGUGCGGGCGAUACGGGCAGACUAGAGUACUGCAGGGGAGACUGGAAUUCCUGGUGUAGCGGUGGAAUGCGCAGAUAUCAGGAGGAACACCGGUGGCGAAGGCGGGUCUCUGGGCAGUAACUGACGCUGAGGAGCGAAAGCGUGGGGAGCGAACAGG
rnacentral:rRNA from 1 species